rnacentral:rRNA from 1 species
GUGGGGAAUAUUGCACAAUGGGCGCAAGCCUGAUGCAGCGACGCCGCGUGAGGGAUGACGGCCUUCGGGUUGUAAACCUCUGUUAGCAUCGAAGAAGCGAAAGUGACGGUAGGUGCAGAGAAAGCGCCGGCUAACUACGUGCCAGCAGCCGCGGUAAUACGUAGGGCGCGAGCGUUGUCCGGAAUUAUUGGGCGUAAAGAGCUUGUAGGCGGUUGGUCGCGUCUGCUGUGAAAGGCUGGGGCUUAACCCUGGUUUUGCAGUGGGUACGGGCUAACUAGAGUGCAGUAGGGGAGACUGGAAUUCCUGGUGUAGCGGUGGAAUGCGCAGAUAUCAGGAGGAACACCGAUGGCGAAGGCAGGUCUCUGGGCUGUAACUGACGCUGAGAAGCGAAAGCAUGGGGAGCGAACAGGAUUAGAUACCCUUGUAGUCC